CACCCGCGGCUCGAGUGGUAGUCACUUUUAUUGAGCCUAAAGCGUUUGUAGCCGGAUUUGUAAAUCUCUAGGAAAAUACUUCUGCUUAACUGAAGAAAUUUUGGAGAGACUGCAAAUCUAGGGACCGGGUGAGGUUGAAUGUACUUCUGGGGUAGGGGUAAAAUCCUGUAAUCCUGGAAGGACGACCGGUGGCGAAGGCGUUCAACUAGAACGGAUCCGACGGUGAGGAACGAAGGCUAGGGGAGCAAACCGGAUUAGAUACCCGGGUAGUCCUAGCUGUAAACACUGCCUACUUGGUGUUGCAUCUCCGGUAAGGGGGUGCAGUGCCGUAGCGAAGGUGUUAAGUGGGCCGCUUGGGGAGUAUGGUCGCAAGGCUGAAACUUAAAGGAAUUGGCGGGGGAGCACCGCAACGGGAGGAGCGUGCGGUUUAAUUGGAUUCAACGCCGGAAAACUCACCGGAGGCGACCUGUGUAUGAGAGUCAACCUGAUGAAUUUACUCGAUAGCAGGAGAGGUGGUGCAUGGCCGUCGUCAGCUCGUACCGUAGGGCGUUCACUUAAGUGUGAUAACGAGCGAGACCCCCAUCUUCAAUUGCUAAGCUAUCCGUGAGGUUGGUAGAACUUUGAAGGGACCGCCAGUGCAGAACUGGAGGAAGGAGGGGUCGACGGCAGGUCAGUACGCCCCGAAUCUUCCGGGCAACACGCGCGCUACAAAGGACAGGACAAUGGGCUGCGACCUCGAAAGGGGAAGCCAAUCCCGAAACCUGUUCGUAGUUAGGAUUGAGGGCUGUAACUCGCCCUCAUGAAUCUGGAUUCCGUAGUAAUCGCGGGUCAACAUCCCGCGGUGAAUAUGCCCCUGCUCCU
rnacentral:rRNA from 1 species